GGUUAAGCGACUAAGCGUACACGGUGGAUGCCCUGGCAGUCAGAGGCGAUGAAGGGCGUGCUAAUCUGCGAUAAGCGCCGGUAAGGUGAUAUGAACCGUUAUAACCGGCGAUACCCGAAUGGGGAAACCCAGUGUGAUUCGUCACACUAUCAUUAACUGAAUCCAUAGGUUAAUGAGGCGAACCGGGGGAACUGAAACAUCUAAGUACCCCGAGGAAAAGAAAUCAACCGAGAUUCCCCCAGUAGCGGCGAGCGAACGGGGAGGAGCCCAGAGCCUGAAUCAGCAUGUGUGUUAGUGGAAGCGUCUGGAAAGGCGCGCGAUACAGGGUGACAGCCCCGUACACAAAAGCGCAUGUGCUGUGAGCUCGAUGAGUAGGGCGGGACACGUGGUAUCCUGUCUGAAUAUGGGGGGACCAUCCUCCAAGGCUAAAUACUCCUGACUGACCGAUAGUGAACCAGUACCGUGAGGGAAAGGCGAAAAGAACCCCGGCGAGGGGAGUGAAAAAGAACCUGAAACCGUGUACGUACAAGCAGUGGGAGCACCCUUUGGGUGUGACUGCGUACCUUUUGUAUAAUGGGUCAGCGACUUAUAUUCUGUA
rnacentral:rRNA from 1 species